rnacentral:rRNA from 1 species
GACGAACGCUGGCGGCGUGCUUAACACAUGCAAGUCGAACGGAAAGGCCCUGCUUUUGUGGGGUGCUCGAGUGGCGAACGGGUGAGUAACACGUGAGUAACCUGCCCUUGACUUUGGGAUAACUUCAGGAAACUGGGGCUAAUACCGGAUAGGAGCUCCUGCUGCAUGGUGGGGGUUGGAAAGUUUCGGCGGUUGGGGAUGGACUCGCGGCUUAUCAGCUUGUUGGUGGGGUAGUGGCUUACCAAGGCUUUGACGGGUAGCCGGCCUGAGAGGGUGACCGGCCACAUUGGGACUGAGAGACGGCCCAGACUCCUACGGGAGGCAGCAGGGGGGAAUAUUGCACAAUGGGCGGAAGCCUGAUGCAGCAACGCCGCGUGCGGGAUGACGGCCUUCGGGUUGUAAACCGCUUUCGCCUGUGACGAAGCGUGAGUGACGGUAAUGGGUAAAGAAGCACCGGCUAACUACGU